rnacentral:lncRNA from 1 species
CAAAAGUCCUUGAUUCUUUUCAUUUCUUCAGCCUGACAUCUAUAAGAUGUCACGGGGAAUUAGUGGCUACAUUAAUUGUAGAUAAUGUAAUAUGACACAACAAAUCCGAGGUAAGAGUAGAGACUGUCUCUCUGUAGCUCUCUAUUAGAAGUAAGAAAACACUUCCAUGCAUAGAUGCUGCUAGACUGGGAAUUAGAAAGCCAAGGUUACUCCAAGUCAUCCCAAGUCUUGGAGUAAAUAGAUUUCUAACUGUGGGCUUCGAUUUUCACAUCUGUUAAGAUUUUCGAUCAAAUAAUCCCAAGAAAACAACAAUUCUACUGCUUUAAAACUCUGUGAGCCUCUACGGAAUACUUACAUUUUAAAGCUUAAAUAUAUAAUUGGGAUCUGGAAGCUUCAAUGAGCCUCCAAGUGAAAUGCUUCUCUCUUUGGAGGACAGAUUUAUUUCUCUUCGGAUGACUUCAUUGCUAAGUUCUGUUUUACUCUCUUUUGUGACGCGAAUGACUCUCAGAGCCUGAAGGUGUCACGGAGUGGAGGGGGUGAAUUUCCUCUCAGUUCUUCUCAGGUCCCAGAGGCACUACCCAUCUCCAACUCAUCCAAUCAAUAGCCAGUUAGAGCUGAGAAGAAACAAGAAUUUUCAGCUAUGUAUAGAACCAUUGUCUCCUUACCUGAGCCAGGUGAUACCUUCUGAAGGAGGUGAGCAAGCAGCUAGGGUCAUCUCACAAGCCUGAUAGGAACUGUCAUUAAUGGACCUCAGCAACUUUCCUCACUCCUGUAAGCCUUUAUCUAUAAAAGAUGGAUAAUAUUAAUUCAUAUUGUUACUGUCUGAACCAAAACAGCAAUGAGAAAAAAACUAGAAAUAUACACAGUGUCUAGAUUAGUGUCAAGUAUAUAUUUUUCAAAUAUUUUUCUUGU